rnacentral:misc_RNA from 1 species
UCCCCGUUGGCCGGGGCAGUCCCGUGUGAAAAAUUCAACACACAGCAAGGGUUGCGCUCGUUGCCGGACUUAACCGAACAUCUCACGACACGAGCUGACGACGGCCAUGCAGCACCUGUCACCAGUCCAACUAAAUGACCAUCUGCUUUCACAGAUGUACGACUGGGAUGUCAAGCCUCGGUAAGGUUCUUCGCGUAGCUUCGAAUUAAACCACAUGAUCCACUGCUUGUGCGAGACCCCGUCUAUUCCUUUGAGUUUUAGCCUUGCGGCCGUACUCCCCAGGCGGGAUGCUUAACGCGUUAGCUUCUCAGCCGAAAGGGUCGAUACUUCCAACUAAUAGCAUCCAUCGUUUACGGCGUGGACUAC